rnacentral:rRNA from 1 species
GACGAACGCUGGCGGCGUGCUUAACACAUGCAAGUCGAACGGAAAGGCCCUUCGGUUUACGGGAGCUCCGAACGGGUAAGUGACACUUAAAUGACCUGUCCCUGACCUUGGUAUAGGCCUAAGAUACGGGGACUAGUACCGAUUACGGCAAAGCUUCCCUGGUGCUUUGUGGGGGAAGGUUUGCUUUGGGGGAUGGGGAUGGGGUCUAGGCCUAUUAGCUUGUUGGUGGGGCACUGGAUUACCACGGCGUUGACGGGUAGCGGGCCUGAGAGGGUGACCGGCCACAGUGGGACUGAGAUACGGCCCAGACUCCUACGGGAGGCAGCAGUGGGGAAUAUUGCACAAUGGGCGGAAGCCUGAUGCAGCAACGCCGCGUGCGGGAUGACGGCCUUCGGGUUGUAAACCGCUUUCGCCAGUGACGAAGCGUAAGUGACGGUAAUGGGUGAAGAAGCACCGGCUAACUACGUG